AGCCUAGUGGCGGACGGGUGAGUAACGCGUGAGUAACCUGCCUUCAGGAGGGGAAUAACGUUCUGAAAAGAACGCUAAUACCGCAUAACGUACAGUUACCGCAUGGUAGCAGUACCAAAGGAGCAAUCCGCUGAAAGAUGGACUCGCGUCCGAUUAGCUAGUUGGUGGGGUAAAGGCCUACCAAGGCGACGAUCGGUAGCCGGACUGAGAGGUUGAACGGCCACAUUGGGACUGAGACACGGCCCAGACUCCUACGGGAGGCAGCAGUGGGGGAUAUUGCACAAUGGGGGAAACCCUGAUGCAGCAACGCCGCGUGUGGGAAGAAGGUUUUCGGAUUGUAAACCACUGUUCUUGGUGAAGAUAAUGACGGUAACCAAGGAGAAAGCUCCGGCUAACUACGUGCCAGCAGCCGCGGUAAUACGUAGGGAGCAAGCGUUGUCCGGAUUUACUGGGUGUAAAGGGUGCGUAGGCGGCUAGGCAAGUCAGACGUGAAACCAUGGGCUCAACCUGUGGACUGCGUUUGAAACUGUUUAGCUUGAGUGAAGUAGAGGUAGGCGGAAUUCCCGGUGUAGCGGUGAAAUGCGUAGAGAUCGGGAGGAACACCAGUGGCGAAGGCGGC
rnacentral:rRNA from 1 species